GCAAUAUUAUAAAGGCAUAACAUGAAGUUCGCUGCAUUUAUUUUCCUAGUUUGCAGCAAUAUUUGCCUUGCCGAGAUACUACAUUUAGAUGAACGUUGUUAUUUUCCGAAUGCGGUAAAGGGCAGGUGCAACAAGUAUCGUAUAAAAUACAGCUUCCUUUCUAGUUUAAACGCCUGCCAUCCGUUUGUUUGGGGCGGUUGUAGCUCAGCAAAGAUCGAAAAUCGCUUCGAUUCGCCGGAAGAGUGUAAUUUGUGCCGUACGUGGAUUAAAAAUAGAAAAUGGAAGACUUGAGUUUUAGAUUCUAAUGCGUUCGCAGUUCGGUACAAGAUUUAUAAUAAAGUGAUUAAAAAGUAUAUUGAAUGCAUAGAAUAAAGAACCAAAAGUUUGAA